rnacentral:misc_RNA from 1 species
CAGCUCUACUGCGCUGUCCCACUUGAAAACAUCCAUCGAAAGUGUUGUUGUUCUGAUUAGAGCGCGGGUGCGAGUAAAUCAAACGAAACCGUUGGGUCCUUUAUUUGAAAGUAUAAAUAAAGCAGUCAGCGAGUAACAAAGCCAUAGGUUUACUCAUUGGAGUAUAAUGGCAUCCGGCGGCUUAGCAUGUGUAAAAUACUUGACAUUCUUUUGCAAUCUUCUUUUUGCGCUCACUGGACUUCUUAUUUUUCUGGUGGGAGGCAUGGUCCAACUAAACUAUGCACACUAUUCGAACUUCGUUAGCGAUCACAUCUGGACCGCUCCUAUUAUACUAAUGAUUGUUGGCGCCGCUGUAGCAGUCAUUUGCUUCUUGGGAUGUUGUGGAGCCUUGAAAGAGAGCAGCUGUAUGAUACUAAGCUUUGCCCUUCUUGCCGUCGUUAUAUUUCUCUUCGAGAUCGGAUUGGGCCUUGCUGGCUAUGUGAAGCAUACCGGUCUUCAUCAGAUUAUGGAGUUUCAGUUUAACUCGACCAUGCAGCACUACAAGGAACGGGCCGACUAUCGGGAUGCUUGGACUUUGCUGCAAACCGAGCUAGAUUGUUGCGGCACCAAUGGACCCAACGACUGGGAAAGCGUCUUUCCUAAUAGUACCCUGCCUGCGGCGUGCUGCUCUGUGAUUAAUUUAAGCGAGGCCAAGGAAUGUACAAAUGUUCACGCAACCCAACAUGGCUGCUUGCAGAAGCUUUUAGAGAUAUUGGAUUCGAAGACUUUGAUAUUGGCCUCCGUUGUUUUGGGAGUGGCGGGUAUUCAGAUGCUCACUAUACUGUUCGCUUGCUGUCUCUAUCGUUCGUUUCGCAGGAGCUACGAUCAUGUUUAGAAUGCGAAGCGAGGAUCCCGUAUGCCGCCUUUAAAAGGGAACAACAUUUUAUGUAGUCUGUUAAGUAAUUUGUACGAAUUUGUCCAAUCGGAAAACCGUUUACUGCUGAUAUCCACUGCUACCUAAAUCAACAUAGUCUACAACUUAUUUACAUGUGAUAACGCAGGCACCGUCAUAAACCAGAGUUCCGGCUCUCGGACACGUUUUCACGCCAUCAGCCGGAUAACCCUUGACCUAAACAAAAUAAACAUCUGUGUCAAAUGCUGCAUUGAUUAACCUAUUGUAACCCAUAAUAAAACAUAUUUUUAAUUUAAAUUUGUACUAGACCUAAGUAAAUACUCUUUGAAUCCCAAAACAUAUAUAUCAACUCGAUGUAUUACCCAAUAAAAUCAGUACGAAAAGAAA